ACGCUCGACACCUACGGAGGCAGCAGUUGGGAAUAUUGGACAAUGGAGGAAACUCUGAUCCAGUGACGCCGCGUGAAGGAAGAAGGUCUUCGGAUUGUAAACUUAUUUUGUCAGGGAAGAAAAAUGACUGUACCUGAAGAAAAAGCACCGGCUAACUACGUGCCAGCACGCCGACGGUAAUCUGAGGCGGGCUGGACAAGGC
rnacentral:rRNA from 1 species